CGGCUUGAACAGCGAGUGACCCGCGACGAAAGUCGCCUUCCGCAAGGACACUCGUAGAGGUGCUGCAUGGCUGUCGUCAGCUCGUGUCGUGAGAUGUUGGGUUAAGUCCCGCAACGAGCGCAACCCUUGUUUGCUGUUGCCAUCAGGUAAAGCUGGGCACUCUGCAAAGACUGCCGGUGAUAAACCGGAGGAAGGUGGGGAUGACGUCAAGUCAGCAUGGCCUUUAUGUCUGGGGCUACACACGUGCUACAAUGGCCGGUACAAACCGUCGCAAAACCGUAAGGUGGAGCUAAUCGGAGAAAGCCGGUCUCAGUUCGGAUUGUAGGCUGCAACUCGCCUGCAUGAAGUUGGAAUCGCUAGUAAUCGCGGAUCAGCACGCCGCGGUGAAUACGUUCCCGGGCCUUGUACACACCGCCCGUCACAUCACGAAAGCCGGUUGUACUAGAAGUCGCCACACCAACCCGCAAGGGAGGGAGGCGCCUAAGGUAUGGUCGGUGAUUGGGGUGAAGUCGUAACAAGGUAGGCGUAGAUGA
rnacentral:rRNA from 1 species